UGGACGACUCUCGGCAACGGAUAUCUCGGCUCUCGCAUCGAUGAAGAACGUAGCGAAAUGCGAUACCUGGUGUGAAUUGCAGAAUCCCGUGAACCAUCGAGUCUUUGAACGCAAGUUGCGCCCGAGGCCAUCUGGCUAAGGGCACGCCUGCCUGGGCGUCACGC
rnacentral:rRNA from 1 species